ACUGGGAUCAAUACAAUACCAGGUGGUGUUGUAACCCUUUAGAAACAAACUGGGGUCAAUACAAUACCAGGUGGUGUUGUAACCCUUCAGAAACAAACUGGGAUCAAUACAAUACCAGGUGGUGUUGUAACCCUUCAGAAACAAACUGGGAUCAAUACAAUACCAGGUGGUGUUGUAACCCUUUAGAAACAAACUGGGGUCAAUACAAUACCAGGUGGUGUUGUAACC